UGUUGAAUAGGGAGAAUAUAUUUUCUAGUAUAUUGAACCGGUAGGAAUGUACAUGCCUUAAUAGGCAGAGAUAACCUUUACAUAUGGUUUGGAUUCGUCCGCUGCCGCCUUCUGGCCGGAACAGGUAUUCGGGCGAUGAUGAUAUUAUAUUCUGAGCCUGUAAUUUGGCUCUGAUGCCAUGUUGAAUAGGGAGAAUAUAUUUUCUAGUAUAUUGAACUGGUAGGAAUGUACAUGCCUUAAUAGGCAGAGAUAACCUUUACAUAUGGUAAGAUACAAUCUUGAUUUACCCUAGCUAUAAUUGGGAAGGAAUCAUUGUAAUUGAUAUUGUAAUUUUUACAUUAAUUUCGUGAAUAUUUGUAUAUC